rnacentral:rRNA from 1 species
GGGCCCGCACAAGCGGUGGAGCAUGUGGUUUAAUUCGAUGAUACGCGAGGAACCUUACCAGGGCUUAAAUGCAGAAUGACAGAUUGGGAAACCAGUCCUUCUUCGGACAUUUUUGCAAGGUGCUGCAUGGUUGUCGUCAGCUCGUGCCGUGAGGUGUCAGGUUAAGUCCUAUAACGAGCGCAACCCCUAUCAUUAGUUGCCAGCGGGUAAUGCCGGGAACUCUAAUGAGACUGCCAGCGCAAGCUGCGAGGAAGGUGGGGAUGACGUCAAAUCAUCACGGCCCUUACGUCCUGGCUACACACGUGCUACAAUGGGGAAUACAGACGGACGCUAAGCCGCGAGGUGGUGCU